rnacentral:rRNA from 1 species
GAUGAACGCUGGCGGCGUGCUUAAUACAUGCAAGUCGAACGAAGUCAGUAGCAAUAUUGGCUGAGUGGCGAACGGGUGAGUAACGCGUUGGUGACCUGCCCCGAAGAGAGGGAUAACAGUCCGAAAGGAUUGCUAAUACCCCAUGUGGUCGUUUGGAUUAGAUGCCUUACGACUAAACGGAUUUAUUCGCUUCGGGAGGGGCCUGCGUCCCAUCAGCUAGUUGGUAGGGUAAUGGCCUACCAAGGCUAAGACGGGUAGGGGACCUAAGAGGGUGACCCCCCACACUGGCACUGAAACACGGGCCAGACACCUACGGGUGGCAG